rnacentral:misc_RNA from 1 species
AAGUCGUAACAAGGUUUCCGUAGGUGAACCUGCGGAAGGAUCAUUAACACGUAUCCAACGUUAAACCCCCUGUGAAUACGAGUUACAUCCACGUCAUAAACCGGCAAUCUCUGGUAAAUCAUCGCCGAACAGUUUUGAUUCAGAGACCUCUGGGAAGGGUGUACGGUAGUGCGAGGCAAUUAAUUGACCUGGCAUUCCUUUGCUUGUUAGUGGCGCAGUAACGAUCGCUGGAGGCCGACACGGCCGGCGACCAGGUCACUGGGCACGGCCCCCCUGAUCACAACCUUUGCAUGAAAACGGGCCUGCGCUGAGGUGCGGCCACCCCUAGAACUGUUAACAAUGGAUAUCUUGGUUCUC